GACGAACGCUGGCGGCGUGCUUAACACAUGCAAGUCGAACGGAAAGGCCCUGCUUGCAGGGUACUCGAGUGGCGAACGGAUGAGUAACACGUGGGUGAUCUGCCCUGCACUUCGGGAUAAGCCUGGGAAACUGGGUCUAAUACCGGAUAGGAGCCAUUUUUAGUGUGAUGGUUGGAAAGUUUUUUCGGUGUAGGAUGAGCUCGCGGCCUAUCAGCUUGUUGGUGGGGUAAUGGCCUACCAAGGCGGCGACGGGUAGCCGGCCUGAGAGGGUGGACGGCCACAUUGGGACUGAGAUACGGCCCAGACUCCUACGGGAGGCAGCAGUGGGGAAUAUUGCACAAUGGGCGCAAGCCUGAUGCAGCGACGCCGCGUGGGGGAUGACGGCCUUCGGGUUGUAAACUCCUUUCGCUAGGGACGAAGCUUUUUGUGACGGUACCUAGAUAAGAAGCACCGGCUAACUACGUG
rnacentral:rRNA from 1 species